UUGUGCAUGCUUUUGAUUUACAGAAGGUGGACAGUGAUAAUGAUUCAUCAUCAUUUAUUAAAAUCUCUUAUGCAAACAGCUCCAUUUGUGAGUAGACUAAAAAUUUCUUGAAUCACACUGCCCCCUGUUGAUCAAUAAUGAUCUCUCAUUGUAAGACAACUGUUUUUUGUACAGCUCUCCCCUGAGUUUGAUACACUGUGUAUUCACUCACUGAACAGAAAUAUGUGGCACUAUCAUUCGGCUGCAAAUUGUUAACAGUCAGAGAUCCAUUCUCAGCAACCGUUUUAUUGGCCACAAAUUUACAAAACAUACAUAUAUAUAUAUAUAUAUAUAUAUAUAUAUAUAUAUAUAUAUAUAUAUAUAUAUAUAUAAUUCAAAUAAUUCAUUUGUAAUUAUUUUAGAUUUAAUUAUAAUUAUUCAUUACCUAAUAUGCAUAAUCUAAACCCUUUUCUUUCUUUCUUUCUUUUUGCUCUAUUUGCUAGACCUACUGUGUUAUUGGCCUUGAAUCAAAACUCACAGGUGUGGAGAGAAAUAAAUAUGCCUUUCACAGAAGCAAGUCGGUUAAAAGAGGUUUUUGUAUCAGACAGAGAGGAUUCUGAGCACUGUGUAAUAUGCUGCACAGAAAUACACUGCACUGUCAGUCAGUGUGAGGUUGCUGAUAAUCAGAGUGCCAUCAUUUCUCCCAUCUCCAUCCAGAUUGAUCUUGUUUUCAAAUUCAGGCUCUUUAUUCUUAGCAUCAUAAUUAAGAUAUCCCAUCAACUUUAAGCCCAACAUGUCUGGACUUUGUUUGUACCAUAAUAUUAUGUAAUAGCUUUGUAUCUUGUGAGAGCACAUGACCACAGCAGAUUCAUCUUGAUUCUUGAUGAGUUUGUCAGGCAUCUGUUGAACAGUUUUACCAAGACAGGCAGCUGUGGAGAAAAACAAAACAGUGUAUAACAGUGUAAAGCAGGAUAUGUUCAUGUAUAGAAUGCAGAUUUGUUUGUUGUUAUUACCUGUAAAUAUCAUUAUGCAUACAGAUGCACUAAGGAAUGUGUUCAUCGUGACUUCUUUCACCAAGUGCUUCUGCUACACAUUAAUGACAUGAGUGAGAGGAAGUGAUGUCAGCUAUAUCUUAGCUAUUAUCAACUUGGGGGAACAAAUGAAUCUAUAAGUUUUUGUUGUUGUUUCUUUUAACCUCCAGUUG
ensembl:lncRNA